rnacentral:rRNA from 1 species
CCUACGGGAGGCAGCAGUGGGGAAUCUUGCGCAAUGGGCGAAAGCCUGACGCAGCAACGCCGCGUGAGGGACGAAGGUUUUCUGAAUUGUAAACCUCUUUCAGCAGGGAAGAUAAUGACGGUACCUGCAGAAGAAGCACCGGCUAACUACGUGCCAGCAGCCGCGGUGAUACGUAGGGUGCAAGCGUUGUCCGGAUUUAUUGGGCGUAAAGAGCUCGUAGGCGGUUUGGUAAGUCGGUUGUGAAAUCCCCAGGCUCAACCUGGGGCCUGCAUUCGAUACUGCCAUGACUAGAGUUUGGUAGGGGACCACGGAAUUCCUGGUGUAGCGGUGGAAUGCGCAGAUAUCAGGAGGAACACCAGUAGCGAAGGCGGUGGUCUGGGCCAAUACUGACGCUGAGGAGCGAAAGCGUGGGGAGCAAACAGGAUUAGAUACCCUGGUAGUCCACGCCGUAAACGGUGGGCACUAGGUGUGGGGACUAUUCAACGGUUUCCGCGCCGACGCUAACGCAUUAAGUGCCCCGCCUGGGGGAGGUACGGCCGCGACGGACGUAAACCUACAAGAGUAGUAGCGCGNGAGACGCGACGACGACGACGACGGAGGAGAG